rnacentral:rRNA from 1 species
GAAGAAAGCGGGAGGAGGGAUGAACACAUGCAAGUCGAACGGAAAGGCCCUGCUUUUGUGGGGUGCUCGAGUGGCGAACGGGUGAGUAACACGUGAGUAACCUGCCCUUGACUUUGGGAUAACUUCAGGAAACUGGGGCUAAUACCGGAUAGGAGCUCCUGCUGCAUGGUGGGGGUUGGAAAGUUUCGGCGGUUGGGGAUGGACUCGCGGCUUAUCAGCUCGUUGGUGGGGUAGUGGCUUACCAAGGCUUUGACGGGUAGCCGGCCUGAGAGGGUGACCGGCCACAUUGGGACUGAGAUACGGCCCAGACUCCUACGGGAGGCAGCAGUGGGGAAUAUUGCACAAUGGGCGGAAGCCUGAUGCAGCAACGCCGCGUGCGGGAUGACGGCCUUCGGGUUGUAAACCGCUUUCGCCUGUGACGAAGCGUGAGUGACGGUAAUGGGUAAAGAAGCACCGGCUAACUACGUG